CAAUAAUUCAGACUGGAUUAUACAAGUGUCUUGUGCUUAUGGUUCUUCAGCCUGUGCAAUGCCUAAAUGGCUACGUGAGCACUGGGAGAAGUCGGGAAUUCUGCAUUGCUGAAGAUGCUAACAUUUGGAUGAACCAAGAUCCUUCUAUAUCCCAGGGCAUAAAAGAACAGGGAGCUCUUUGGAAGUCCCAGGCAAGAUACCUCCCUUGACAACUCAGGAAACGCAGAGAGGUGUUUGAUUGCGGGAACCAGAAAGAAGGCUAUCAGAAAGAUGAAAUGAUGCAGCACUAAAGGAUCAAAAAUCAAAUAAAUACUGUCCUAAUACCACCACAUGACCAACAUCAACAACACUAGCCCAGAUCUUCAAGUCUCGGGUUCAUUUGGAGACCAGCAAUACUCCAGAAAGUGAACAACAAUUCACUGUGCAGUCCCAAUGCAGGGAUUCUGCUGAUAUUGCCCAGAAAGUUUGAACUUCUACUAGGCAAUGCCCAAAUUUCAUAGAACCUUCUGAACCAGUGUCUCAAUCUGAGUUAGAGUCGAGACUUCAAAACUUCGAACUUUAUUCAUUUCAGGAGAAUAUCAUCAAGUUUUAACCCUCAUUUGGAAUGCUGAAGCAGACAACAUGGGCCGAGUGGCCUCAUUCUGGGCCAUAUAUUUCUGGGAGUCUCUGCAACAUUAGACCAGAAACAACUUCGUCAAACUCCAUGUGUAACUAUAGAACUGGCCAUCAAUACUGUCCUCAUGCCAAGCCUGGCCAGCCCCUUAAUCCAUCAACUAAUCCCCAUGAGCCUUGCCUGACUAAUUGCAGCCUGACCUGACUAGUCCACAACAUAACCCAACUCAACCUAACAAUCCCCAUCCAUGCCCACUUCAACUGUCUAUCAUCCUAUGUACCUGUUCACUACACCUCCUUGACCAUUUAUCUGUUGUUCUCACGUUCUUCCAUAGCUUUUUUUAAAAAAACUUUAGAACAUAUAAACUCUUGAUUGAUCAGAAUACAACAGUAGUAACAUACAUAAUGGGGUGUGGCUUUAGUGUGAAUCUUCUGCACUGCACCUUCUGAGGUUUACUGUCCUGAGUCAGUUCUGAAAGAUCUUCCAUUGUAACAUUAGAGAAAAGCAAACCUGUACUUUCUUUUGUCUGAUCAGAGUCAUAAAUAAGGAGUGGAACCUUCUGUGAGCAAUGGAGGUGUUGCUUGUUGGCUGGAGAAACAGUGGGAGGUCCAGUCUACCUCUUCUAAGGAAAAACCCCUGGAUCUUCUGCCAAUCAAGCAAAUCCAAGGACAUCACAGGGUCUACCUCAGGAAUUAGAUACCCAGGAGUGAUAGUGCAAUCAGUGGGCAGCAGAUCCUAUGCUUGGCAACACCAGGAAGGAGGAUAAGGUCAGAGGAGCGAAUCUGAAGAACCGGAACCCAUGAGCGAGGUCAGUGAUGUGUGUGCGAAUGGCAUGAGGGGCAUAGAAUGGAAGGGUUCAUUCAUUGAGACUAAAUGCAAAAGAGUUUCAGGGCCAGGAAUAAUGGUAAGGGGUGCCCUGCCUGCCAGCUGUCCAUGCUCUCUAAUAGGCAAUAAGUGCCUUUGAUUCAACACCCCUCAUUAGGUGGCAACCCACACCCUUUCUGCUUCUAGAACUCUACGUGCCAGGCCAGCCUGACACUGAGUUAUUCAGAACAGCAGCAAGAAAAGGUCCUUAUACGUUCCCUCAAUGGAUCACCUCAGGGUAUCAAUUGACAGUGGAGCAGGAAAGCCAUGUAUCUUCCUGUCCUGAACUUUAUUCUGGUGGAGGUUGGAAUGGGACCAAGGUUAGUUACGCCAUCAUCCUGCCUAAUUAAACAUGCUUCCCCCUUCCUUCCUCACCACUUCCAGGAGCCAAGGAUUCUGCCCAUAGAUUCUGAUCCUGAUCGGAAAAUCCGGGCCAUUAUAUUGGGAAUGCACUUGUAAUGAUUCUUCUCAUUGACAGCCUGGCAGACUACAGAGUAAAGUAGAAAUGUACUCACUUCUCACAGAAUAACAUUGUUUAGUAUAUAUAGCAACCAGCAAGUGUAAGUAUGCUAAUGAGUAUUCAUUUUAAAUUACAAUCAUUCACAAUGAAUCUUUUAUACUUGAGAUAAAACUCAGAGGAGUAUUCCAUGAAGUAGAGUGUGAAAAUGAACAGCUUCAAACAAAGAUCUCUGCAAUCUCUUCCAAAUGGAAACAACUCCAAAAUCAAACUCUUUUUGUCAUCUUCUUUCAAACAACAGCAUUCAAGAUGAGCACACCAACAACAAAUUAAUUUUAGAGAGUUCCUGAUUUCAGCACACUGUGGCAAAUGUUAUUGAAUAGCAGUGAUCUUUGAUAAUGAACUAAUCACACUGGCAGAAUUCAUAAGUCCUCCCUACCAACUAGCAUUAAAAAGUAAUAUUUUUCAGUAGUGCUGUUGUACCCAAUAUGUGGCAAUAAUUAUUUUAUUCCACAAAUUAUACUUUGUGAAUUAGAAGCUAUAGAGCCAAUAAAAGAGUAGACUUUAGUUUCUGGAUAUGUGUUCAAUAAUUGAUAUCAACAUAACAAUGGUUUCAUUUAAACAAAGUUAAAAAUCACACAACACCAGGUUAUAGUCCAACAGUUUUAUUUGAAAGUACAAGUUUUUGCAGGGCUGCUUCUUCGUUGGAGGGGCAAGAUCAGCCAUGGGAACCAAAUUUGCACUCCAAUAUGCCAACAUUUUCAUGCACAAGUUUGCACAAGACUUCUUUGCUGCACAGGACCUCUGACCAGCACCAUACACCAGAUACAUUGACGAUAUUUUCGUCCUCUGGACCCAUGGCAAGGAAUU